rnacentral:rRNA from 1 species
ACGGCCAGAGAUGGUCGCCCCCUUGUGGUCGGUGUACAGGUGGUGCAUGGUUGUCGUCAGCUCGUGUCGUGAGAUGUUGGGUUAAGUCCCGCAACGAGCGCAACCCUUAUUACUAGUUGCCAGCAUUCGGUUGGGCACUCUAGUGAGACUGCCGGUGACAAACCGGAGGAAGGUGGGGAUGACGUCAAAUCAUCAUGCCCCUUAUGACCUGGGCUACACACGUGCUACAAUGGGUGGUACAACGAGCAGCGAGACCGCGAGGUCAAGCGAAUCUCUAAAAACCAUCCUCAGUUCGGAUUGCAGGCUGCAACUCGCCUGCAUGAAGCUGGAAUCGCUAGUAAUCGUGGAUCAGCACGCCGCGGUGAAUACUUUCCCGGGUCUUGUACACACCGA